GAUGAACGCUGGCGGCGUGCCUAAUACAUGCAAGUCGAGCGAACAGACGAGGAGCUUGCUCCUCUGACGUUAGCGGCGGACGGGAGAGUAACACGUGGAUAACCUACCUAUAAGACUGGGAUAACUUCGGGAAACCGGAGCUAAUACCGGAUAAUAUAUUGAACCGCAUGGUUCAAUAGUGAAAGACGGUUUUGCUGUCACUUAUAGAUGGAUCCGCGCCGCAUUAGCUAGUUGGUAAGGUAACGGCUUACCAAGGCAACGAUGCGUAGCCGACCUGAAAGGGUGAUCGGCCACACUGGAACUGAGACACGGUCCAGACUCCUACGGGAGGAAGCAGUAGGGAAUCUUCCGCAAUGGGCGAAAGCCUGACGGAGCAACGCCGCGUGAGUGAUGAAGGUCUUCGGAUCGUAAAACUCUGUUAUUAGGGAAGAACAAAUGUGUAAGUAACUAUGCACGUCUUGACGGUACCUAAUCAGAAAGCCACGGCUAACUACGUG
rnacentral:rRNA from 1 species